ACGGUCGCUGUUUGGUCUGUUGUACGUUAAAUUUUUUCUAUGUAAGAUUGUACGUUUUGAAAAUUCACAUUAUCAUUGUGUCCGCUGAUCGUGACUGAAGACUGAAAAAUAGUACUGAGGCGACAUCAUGAGAAAAGCAAAUGUGGUUCUACGAGUUGAAGACGGAAGCUGAGGUCACGAGGUGCGUCAAGAGCAAGUUGAAGACAGAGUGCCGGAGCGUGACAGGUGGCGCCUUCUAAAAAGGAAGGCAGUCCGAAAAAUGGCGUGAAGUAUACCGAUCAGAACGAUUACGAUGAUUAUUGGAAAUUGUGAGGAAUUCGAGGAGUGAGUCGACAGCAAAGGGAUGCCUUGACCGUAAUGUGUUGCGACUUGGCGUGAUCGUGCCGGGCGAUUUACGCGCCGGAUUAGUCCGCCAGUGGCUAUUCUGGAGUUUUCGUAAUCCGGCCGGUUCGGAAACAGGCCGAGGUAGAGAGACACCUCUCUAAAGGGAUCAUUCGAGCCAAGUGGCUGGGGUUAGUCGGUUAAAACAGGUAUAUAGAAGCGUGAGCCAGAGCCAGAAAGAGCCAUGAGCCAGAGGGAUGAAGAGGGCAAGGCCGGCGAAGGGUUGCCAGGACGAGAGAGGACCCUCUUAAAAUACACCCCUGGGAGAGAAAAAGAAUCUCGCGGGUGAGGGCGGCGCCCUCAUCGCGAAUUUCGAGCCGCCAUCGCGGCUGUGGGCGUGGCUGCGCAGACGCUGACAAAGAAAAAUCGGGAGUGAGAACGAUAGCGAGGAUUUUCGGGGGUUGCCGGCGAUGCUGACGCCGCUUCUCGUGACGGUGAUCCUGGCGCUGCCGUUAACGACGGAGGGAAGAAAAAAAAUGAAAUAAGGGAGACUCCACACAAUACGUACCAGUGGCAAGCUGGUACGUUUUCAUAGCAUCCUUAAGGAUCCAUCAGUACCCACAGGAUCAGCAGGAACAUCGGAAGCGUGAAAAGGAUGAAAACCUGGAUGGUCAAAUAUCCAUAAAGGUAUAAAACAGUGAGGACAGAUUCAGCCAAUCAGAAGAGUUCAUCCGUAUGAAGUUUAUUCGGGCAGGAGAAUGGGAGAAUUUGAGUCGGGACAAUUUUUUAAAAUUAAGGCUGUUAAACCUAAUCUCCAUGUAGCACGAUGGUCGCGGGCGCUUGCGCAUCUUCAUCUGCUGAGCCAUUCUAGCAAGAGACAUAAAAACAGCGUGUUCCCCUUCAGCAGUUAAAUCGCUCUGCGAAACGUUCUUAAUAUCUGCAGAAUGUAACGGGCUCGGUUUGGCCCUCGUGCUAUGCGAAGGGGAUGGCGCCGCCAGGCUCGAUCUCUGGAGUGGGUUUUAAGGGUGUUUCCAGAGGGAGCCUGGAUUUUAGGCGUCCUACGACCAGGAAAUACCCGGAGCCUCCAGUCGGGAAAAUGACUGCGCCCGCCAUUCGGGCCCCAGCUAGAGAUAUGAGAUUACUCCCUUCCAUUUUUUUCCGUUCUUUUUUCCUUUCAUGCGAUAAACGUGCGAAUUAUGCUUAAUACGCCGGACUAUCUUUGCGUUAGGUUAGGUUGCUAUCCGUGCUUUUUAUUCGGGAUGAGUUUGAAUCCCUCGAGCAUUCGAAUGGCCACUGAACAUUUCUACUAAGCUGAUAUGGUACCUGCUCGUAGGUAGCUAUUGUGUUCCAUUUUCCCUUUAUCAAGUUAUUUUCAUUGGUUUUUACUCAGGAAUGUUUUUUUACAAAUAUUUUUUCAACUUUCUUAUUCUAUCCGCGGCUUUUAAGAAUUAGUCUAAGGAUCGACGUAAUGUAUAGAAUAACACCCUCCAGUGAAGAGAAUUGGCCGCGUGUUGUUUUCUGUUGACUUUGGGUUGACAAUGUCACCCCUCUUUUCUGCGAUAUCCUCCACCUUUGUCAGAACCAAUUGUACUGACAAAAUACUCAAA